GACGUAGGGUCCAAGCGUUAUCCGGAAUUACUGGGCGUAAAGGGUUCGUAGGUGGAUUGGUAAGUGGCGGGUUAAAUCCCAGGGCUCAACCCUGGAAAGGCUUGUCAUACUGCCAAUCUUGAGUUUGUUCGGGGAGGUUGGAAUUCUCGGUGGAGGGGUGAAAUCCGUUGAUAUCGAGAGGAACGCCAAGGGUGAAGACAGACCUCUAGGGCAAUACUGACACUGAGGGACGAAAGCUAGGGUAGCAAACGGG
rnacentral:misc_RNA from 1 species